ACACCUAGUGCACCCCUGGCUUCUGAUGGAUGCGAUGCUUCUGCUACUGUUGUUCCUAGCACUGCUGUUGUUAAGAUUUACAAAUGCAGUGGAGCAGGAACCUUUGCUUACUGUCUGGUUGUAAUAGUUCAUCUCCACAAACAGUCUGUUUGCCUUGUGAUGACUUAAAAAAAAGCCUCCAUCCAGCUUCUCUAGAUGGCCAGGUUGUGAAUCUCUCAGGUAGCAGGUCUCUCCUGGCAGCGCUAUGGCCUGAGUCUAGAGCUGAGGUAGAUUCAGUCAGAGAGGAUGCAUUCCCGAGUGGUCAGCUGCAGCUGAGCUGUUGGAUGCUAAUGCUCCAUUCCAUUGGUGAGGAUCGGAGGGCUGAGCAACUUGAAUAGACCUGAUGAAAAGUGGA
rnacentral:lncRNA from 1 species